UCUUCGGAGUCUGGGGUGGUCGCGCAGAUCCCGGACGAGCCCCCAAAAUGAAAGAUCCCCGAAGAGAGACCCUUUCUAAAGUCGAGGGAAAUCGCGGACCCCAGACACAGAGAGACCA
rnacentral:pre_miRNA from 14 species